rnacentral:lncRNA from 1 species
GCCCCCUUCGCCUCCACCUCCCCUGCCACCGCCACCGCCUCGCCGGCGUUCGAGCUUCCUUUCCCCCGUUCCUUCUGCCGGCCCAGCUACUCCCCGCCGCCGUGCACUGGGUGACCGACAAAGCUCAAAGUUGCUGCCAGUGAAGAAAAAUCCAGGUCCGAUUCAUCCUUCUUCUCUUAGAGCAGCUCGUUGGAUCCCCCUUUGCCUCCUCUUCCCGCCCCCUCAAUUCUCUAGUCGCAAGCCAAGUGCAUCUGCAGAGCAGUUAAAGUCAAGUGCUUCCCUUCCGACGCAGAUCUGCUCGCGACCAGCCGGAAGGGUGCACAUCGCCGGCGCUGGCAGGCUGCUUGGGUGAGGUGCAAUGCGUCAGCUUAUUCUUCUUUUUCAGUUUUAUAAUCUUCCUCCCAUCUUUCAGUCCCAAAUCUGAGGGUUCAUGAAUUUUCUAUUGUGAAGAAAAUAACUGUCCCGGAUCUUGGUCUUAUUUUAUUAUUAGAUUCAGUCUGUACCAAAUCCAAGGCAACACCUCAACCAGUUAGAAGGUGAUGGGCAACAUAUUUAAUAGGCACCCAACCAGCAUUACAAAACUAAUCUCUAGCUGCUAGUCACCCAAAGAGAGCCAAAGUGGCAUCACACACACACACACACACACACACACACACACCUCAAUCAGUUCAAGUGUAGCUGCUGCAUUCGAAUUAAAACUACUGCUAUUUUAACUGUCAUUGGAUUGUGUCUAAAGAACGUCUAGCUUGUAUGUAACCACAUCUGUAGAAAUUUAACCUGUCACAGUAAUGUUUUUCUUUCUUAUUUUCUCAUCAAGCAUCUUAUAUUCUUCUAGAUGCAUUGGUCUCCAUUUUGAUAAACAUUUCUUCACAUCUUAUUUAAUGCAAGGUUUGAUCAAAGCGCUUGGAAGUACAUCUGCAGAGCAGUUCAGACUUCAGAGUCUGUAGGCUAAAUCACCACCUGUAGG